rnacentral:rRNA from 1 species
ACUAAAUAGAUACCCAGGUAGUCCCAGCCGUAAACGAUGCUCGCUAGGUGUCAGGCAUGGCGCGACCGUGUCUGGUGCCGCAGGGAAGCCGUGAAGCGAGCCACCUGGGGAAGUACGGCCGCAAGGCUGAAACUUAAAGGAAUUGGCGGGGAGCACAACAACGGGUGGAGCCUGCGGUUUAAUUGGACUCAACGCCGGACAACUCACCGGGGGCGGACAGCAAUAUGUAGGCCAGGCUGAAGACCUUGCCUGAAUCGCUGAGAGGAGGUGCAUGGCCGUCGCCAGUUCGUACUGUGAAGCAUCCUGUUAAGUCAGGCAACGAGCGAGACCCGUGCCCACUGUUACCAGCAUAUUCUCCGGAAUGAUGGGUACUCUGUGGGGACCGCCGAUGUUAAACUCGGAGGAAGGUGCGGGCCACGGUAGGUCAGUAUGCCCCGGAAUCUCCCGGGGCUACACGCGGGCUACAAUGGAUGGGACAAUGGGUCCCUACCCCGAAAGGGGCUGGUAAUCUCACAAACCCGAUUCGUAGUUCGGAUCGAGGGCUGU